GUUCUGUAAUGUAAAUACAUUUUCAACGUGAUCGGCCCGCCCUACCGGCGUAAUAUUUCUAUGUUAUUAUUUCUUAUAUAAUUUUGAAACGUGUGUUUCAGGUUCACAUUUGCACUUUGUAAUUCAGACGAAAAAAAAUCAAAACAAGAGAUGGCUACGGGGACUGUUUACUAGGAUUUUGAUGGAUUUACAAGGAUGGAAUCCGGGGGAUUUCCGAAAGGCUAAUUGGUGGGAGGAUUCUCAUUACGAAGAUUUUGGGAAAGGUUGGGAACAAAAGGAAUCGAGGAUCGAAAGGAGAGAUCUUAUGGAUCCUCGAGGGAAUCGCUGGAAAAAUGGAAGGUCUACGCUGGGAAGGUUUUGAAGCUUUUUGGUUCACGAAUUUAGGAUUCACGGGAUCAUACUGUUUCUUUUGGACAACGAGGUCGGGACAAGGACUCUAUUUUCUUCAGGUGUCUGUUAUAUGUGAUAAUCAGGUUAAACAAGAGUUGGUUUUUUAUUUCGUUAACCUACAUUAAGGGUUGGUCUUUCGGGUUUUUUUUUUUUGACCACAAGAACCACAAACUUAAGAAGACCAAAAACCAACACAUGUCACAACUACAAACCCAAAGGGUACACACUCGGCAGAACAAUCGCAAGACCAAAGCGAAAACAGAGCCAAUAACUACGAACCACACAACUGUCACCAUGAACCAGAGACACGAAAUGGUAGACUUUUUUUAGGGAAUGGUAGAUGAUCCAAAAAAAAAAGUCUAUCAAAAAUGGUAGAUGGUGACAGUUGUGUGGUAGAUGAUCCGUAUGAUUUUACACGAAAUGUCUUGAUUUUUUUUUGGGAGGAAGCAGAAAUGGUAGAUGAUCCGUAUGAUUUUGACUGGAGUGGCCCACGGUUUUAUAUUUGUCAUCAGCACCUACCGAUACUGGAGACUGUAGUGGGCUUGGAUGGGUUAGAAAGGUUUUGCGGGAUAUGUAUGGUUUCUUCAUACCAGAUUUCAAGCUUGAAAGAGCAAAGCGAAAUAAAUUUUUUAAUGGAUGUUCUCAGUUGGCAUUGUAGAGGUAUCAAACAAGUAAUAAAAGGGGAAUAUGCUCGAAGGAGAGAGUGUCCACGUCAGCCAAUUAAAUCAACCUAUAAGAGAAAUCAUUUCUGCCAUGUCAUCUAUGUUUAGCCAAUUCUUAAAAAAAAUCGGGCCUCGUGCUUUUAGGAUCUUGGAUCUUCGGAAAUCAAUUAUCUGAGCUACAUAUACGGCCCAGGUGAAAAACACUUGACAAACCCUAAUCCUCUAAAACAUCGGUUUACUAACUCAUUCUAUUCAAUCGUUUUCUCAAUUUCAUCUUCUUCCAUCUCCGUUACCCAUCCUCCUCUGCAAUUAAUCGUUUCCUUUCACCUUCCUCUCUUCAUUCUUUAUAAACUCUUUCUUCUUAGCUUACUACAAAUCUAAACUCGAAAACCUCCUCUCAGUAAACUUAAGCCAUGGCGAUGAAACCCAACUGAAAACAUACUGCAAUUACCAAAGGUAUAGUUUUAGUAGAUUAAGGGUUUCAUUGUUCUCUUUCUUCGACCUUUCAACCUUGCCGUCUUCGCUGAUUUUAACAUGCAAACCGACGAUUUGUUUUCUUAAGAGAAGAAGGAGCCAGUGCGCCGUAGGAUGGAGCAGACGGUGGCGUGGAUGAGGAUGUCGGCUUUGGUGCGUCGUACGGCACAGCGUAAGGAGAGGAAGUUGAUGACCGUAUGGUGGAUUGUUUCCGUCGGAGGAGUAAGGUAGCUGAGGAGGUGGCUGUUGAUUUCCACAACCGUAACAGUAACCUGACAUCGCUGGAAACGAAAAGGUAAACACUGUUCAAAAGAGAUCGAAGAAGAGGAUGGUUUAGCCUUAAAGCUCUGUUUCUUUUAGUUUUUGAUAGACUUUUUUUUUUUGUUUCUACAUGACUUAGGAGAAAGAAGCAAAGAAAGAAGCUUUCAGAAAGUAUUUAGAGUUCAGUGGAGUUAUUGAUUCUCUCACCAAAGGUAUUGUUUCUUUUUGUACAUUACACCAUUACUAAACAUACUACAACAGUUUCUGUAUCAAAUAGACAUUUGGUAUAGAGUCAUUUUUUAUGCAUAUGAACUUCGUAAAUAGUUCUUUUUUUUUGGCCAGAGGGGACAUAGACAACAUGGGAGCAGAAAUAAAUGUUACCCUCAUCUCAGAGGCCAGGGGUUCCUCAACGAUUCUUUGGUGUGGUAAGAUACUUUUCUUUAAAAGUUACAUGGAGUCACUUUAGUUGGAAUCACAUUAUUAUUUCCUAAAGUUAGAUGCUUAUGUCGUCAUUACAUAUGUUUCUUUUAAAUUAAUAACCUCUUACUUUUCACCCCUAAAGCUUAGAAUCUGGGCCUUUUGAAGAUAUUCAGAAUCGGAUACAUGAUGCGAUGGAGGAAUUUGUAAUAACAGGUAAUUGCCACAUUAGCACUUAUUUUUAAGCAUCUGACACUAUUUUGGUAGCGUAUAUAAGUUAAAAGAUAGUGAAUUAUUUCCGAACAUUUGUAGCCAAUAAUGACUUAGACGAUCUCAUACAAGAAAGGAAAUGCCAACUUGGACUUUUCAGGUGGCUCUUAUAUCUAUGUCUCUGGAAAGACAUGUUUCUUAGCUGGAACAGAGGAUGUGCACUUAUGUUAUAAAUUAUAGGACUGGGCCAAGGGAUAGGCCGCAACGUUGGGUUUGGAGGAUUGCAAGGAGAAUGUUGACAGAGAUGGUGGCGAUGACAUAAGAUGAAAUGGCGGUAAAGAGAAGAAACAUGUGGUGUUGGACUCCAACAAAAGUUAACUAUUUUAGGAUGUUUUUUAACCAGUAUUCCACUUCUGAGCAGCCACUGAUCGAUAUGUGUAAAAGCGAAAUCGUAGUCGUGUGUAUGUGAAAGAGAAAAAAAUGAGCAGUUGAAGAAUCAGGUGGAAAAUAAGGGAUACUUUUAUGCAACAAUUGUUAUUUUCAGAUCAGCUUUCUCUAUUUGUAGGAGAGAAUAUAAAGAUAAAUAAGUUUUGCAAUAGUGGUCGUUUUGACUGUAAUUUCCCAA